AAAAAAAAUUACACAGGAAGCACUGUCAAAUGAUGAUAAACCUUCUUAGGUUAUACUUCAUGGGCAAAUGCUGUAACUGUCCUAGAAUUUUUUUAUUUUAUUUAUUUGAGUGAGAGAGUGAGAGAAAGAGAGAGUAUGAGGAGGGGGAGGGUCAGAGGGAGGAGAAGCAGGUUCCCCUCUGAGCAGGGAGCCCAAUACAGGACUCAAUCCCAGGACCCUGAGAUCAUGACCUGAGCAGAAGGCAGAUGCUAAAUUGACUGAGCCACCCAGGCACCCCUCUGCCCUAGAAAUUAUAUGAAAAUUUUUAAAAUUUUAAUACAUCCUGAGGCCAUCACUUGACAUUCUACUUAUUGAAAUGCCAUAUGUCACAGAAAGAACUGGAUCUUCUUAUCAACUGCAUAAUGAUGAACUCAUCCGAUCUUUAACCAGCCCAUCUCUGAAUCUUUUGUCAUUUACAAUUAUUGUUCUGAUGCUCUUGCAAAACAUGUUUCAUCAAGGAAACUCAUGAAAAGGACUUUUGACAAAUACGGGUUUCUGAUAUCCUUAAAUCACAAAACUAAACUGGAUAAGAAUUUCCAAAACUAAUGGAAAAGUUGCAAACAGAACAAGAUUUAGUAACAAGGAAGUAAAUGAAUUGAGGAAGAUGAUUAUAGUUUUUAUGACUAUCCUUUGAAACACUGUUCUCUCAUGUUUGCUCUUCCAGAUUUAAGGACAUUUUUUUCUCUUAAAAUAUCUAUGACUCACAGAAAUAUGAUAAAAUAGUCCUUUAUGAACGAAUGGAAACAUUAAUCUUUUCUCCCAAUCUGAACCCUCUAAAAUUCAGGAACUCUCACGUAUCUGUUAACUCGGGCAAAAACCCAGCAGGCAAAACAUCCCGUGAUGGGAACCAAAACUACCCCCUCAAGCAAUAAAACUACUCCCCAGAUGCCAGCCAGCCCCACAUGAUCUACCCCAAGACAACAGUCAACCUGACCUUUGCUGCUGCUGCUGCUAGAGAGAGAAAAAGAGAGCACAAGCUGGGGGAGCAGCAGACAAAAACAGAAGCAGCUUCCCCACUGAGCAUGGAGCUCAAUGCAGGACUCAAUCCAAGGACGCUGGGAUCAUGACCUAAGCUGAAGGCAGAUGUCUAACUGAGCCACCCAGGCAUCCCUCAGUUUUAAUUUCUAAUCCAGUAAGCAUCAAUAAAUAAAACCCAAAUAUGUAAAA